GGGGGUGUAGCUCAGCUGGGAGAGCGCCUGCUUUGCAAGCAGGAGGUCGUGGGUUCGAGUCCCACCACCUCCA
rfam:Aquifex aeolicus VF5, complete genome.